rnacentral:lncRNA from 1 species
UUUUUUUCUUAUUUUCAUAAUUUUACAUAUAUAUAAAUACACACACAUUUUAGAAUAUACAUAUAUAAUUUAAAUUAAAGUAUUUGUUUCAUGUUAUACAUUAACUUUUUUAACAUGCCUUUUAGAAAACAUAUAUUUUGGUUGCGUCAAAGCAUUAAAAUCGUCAUAUUUUACAAAUUUCCAAAAUAUCCGGCAUUUAUGAUUCUUGAGAAAGAUCGUGUCCUAACUUACUGGAUUGCGAUUAUUUUUCGAUGAAUUUAGAAAGCCAAGUAUUCAUUUCACAAUAAAUUCACAAAUUUCAAAUAAAAGCUUAUUCUCGGGAAUUCAAAAAUGUCGGGUCCUAACUUACUGGUCAUGACAUUUCAUUAUCUCGAAAUAAGAAUUUCUAAAACAAAAGGUAAUAGUCGGUAUUUUGAAGAUUUAAAAAUAUUGUGCCCUAACUCACUGGGUGUGGUGUUUUAUUUCUUUGAAAUAAGAAUGUUUUAUUAUUUUGAUUCAUUCACGAGAUAAGAAGUUUUCUUUUAAAAUCUUUUCAAAUUUUCGACACCAAGACAUUAAAUAAUCAAUUUGGUACCGAUUUCGGGCGUUACGAGGGUGCUAACCCUUCCUCGUGCGUAACUGACUCCCGAACCUAUUUUUUCAAAUUUCGCAGACCGAAAUUGUUUUUAAGGUGAGCUGAUCACACCUCAAUCAAGGAUCGGUGGCGACUCCAAUUUUUAUUUUUAAAGUCGACAACUAAAUUUUUUGUUUUCAAAAAAAUAGUUUUGACAGUCAUUAUACAUGGUUCUACAAAAAAAUUAAUUUUUUUAUCCAAAUUGUUGACGUGGCAUGUUAGUGGCGCCAAAUAUUUUGGCUUCACCAACUUUUACUGUAGCUUUCGGAUUAUUUUUAUAUUUUAUCAAAACAUAAGUUAUUUAAGUAAUUAAUUAUUUUUGGGAUUAACUUUAUAAUAAAAAAAAAAAACCCUCAAAAUGGUUAUCAGUUGUUUUUAAAGGUUAGACUAAAUUUUUGUUAGAGUUUUUUUUUUCUUUUUUUCCUCUCUUUGCCGUCCCCUUCAUUUUUUUUUCCUCGCUCUUCUUCAAUUUUCUCCCGUAACCCACCAUUAUUGCAACCUAAAGCACUAGUUUUUAUUUUCUGUUUAUGUCGUCCCUUUGCCCAUCACUUCUCUACUUUAUUUGAUUGAAUCCUUAUCUUUUUAAUAUCAAUAUUUUGUUCAUAAGUUGUUGCCAUUUUUUAUUCUUCAUUGUUAUCCAUUUCUCCUUCUCUUGUUGUUGCACAUUAAAGCUUUUGUUGCUCUCAUAAUUUCUAUAUUGUCGCCCCAUCUAAGUCUCAUAUUGUCAUCAUUAUUUCUCUUAUUUUGCUUUUGAUUUUGUACAUAUUCUCACCCCUUGGCUGAACCCUCUUAACAUGAUUAGCAAGCAUUUGUUUUCGUUGAUCAAAUGUUAACACGGGUCUUCAAACCGGUGUAGCCUAAGUUGAUCCAAUUAAUUAGAUUUCAUUUUCCUUCUUGAUCUCGGUUGGCCGAAUGCCAUAGAGGUUUCAUUGGUUGAUUUUAAUCAUUUUGUUAUAUGUUUAUCAUGUCCGAUUUGCAGAUUAGGAAGGAAUCGAGACAAAUCCAAGUUGUAGUGGUGCUCAGUCAAUUGUUAGUGUUCUAUGUAUUGUAAUCGAGGUGUGAGAUUUAAAUCAAUUGUGAAUGGUGUAUGUGUGUGUACUAUUUUGCAUGUUGGUUGACUAAUGUUGUUGUACCAAAUACUUAUCGAUCAACCUCCAAGUAGUUGCUACUGGUUACUUUCGUUAGUGACUUCUUAUGUAGUUUACUUCAAUUUUGUUGCUCAACCUUGCACUGUUUGCCAUCUAAAUACGUUGCUUACUGUUUUGGUGUCGAUUAGCUUCAAUUUCUUAUUGUUUUAGCCUGCUGUGUGUUUGUCGAUCAAUCCUUAAUUAUAGUCUUCAAUUGCCUAUGUACAUGCCCACUGUUCUGCUUCAUUAAAUGCAUGUUAAACAUGUUAUUUUUUGUAUCUCUUGUUUGCAUGCCUAUAAAGCAUGUCACUGUUAUGAUUAUUGAUCGUGUGAUUAUGACACGCUUCUGUAUUGUAUCGUAUCUGAUUCUACUAUUCUGAGAUAAUGACAUUACGCAUUGCAUCGGAGUUGGAUUGAUCGGAGACAGAGGAGAUUUGUUGAGCUCUGGCUGUAUAUUUGCAAUUACUAGAGUUCUGGCGGUAAAUUUGCAAUUUCGGAGUUCUGGCAAUUUGUUCGCAAUUUGUUUUGGCGAUUUGUCUGCAUACUAUUCUAGCGAUUCGUCCAUAACACUAUUCUACUGGUUUAUCCAUGCAAUCUGACUAGCAGCAUAGUUUCAAUUAUUUUCUGUUACCUAUGGUUUAACCACAAUUAGCUACGGCUCCUUUUUAUAUGAUGUGUAUGGUUGGAUAUGGUGUGUAGCAGAUGGAUGGCUAAGAAAACUACAUUGAAAUUCAUGAACAUUUAUACAAAUUUUGUGAUUUCGUAUACUUUGACGAUAUGGUGAUUGGUGAUAUUGUUGUAUAUGUUAUUAAUGUGAACACAAAUGAUGUUAUGGUCUUG